rnacentral:rRNA from 1 species
GUGCCAGCAGCCGCGGUAAUACCGGCAGCCCGAGUGAUGGCCGAUCUUAUUGGGCCUAAAGCGUCCGUAGCUGGCUGCGCAAGUCCGUCGGGAAAUCCACUCGCCCAACGCGUGGGCGUCCGACGGAAACUGCUCAGCUUGGGGCCGGAAGGCCCGAAGGGUACGUUCGGGGUAGGAGUGAAAUCCCGUAAUCCUGCACGGACCACCGGUGGCGAAAGCACUUCGAGAAAACGGAUCCGACAGUGAGGGACGAAAGCCAGGGUCUCGAACCGGAUUAGAUACCCCAGUAGUCC